ACUACGGUAUUGUGUCGUAGGCUGUGAACGACGUGCCAGAUCUCUGCUAUGUUGGAUAUUUGUAUAUCAGCAUUGAUAUUUUUAUUAGGUCUAUUUAUUGUUCAGUUGGUUAGAUUUGUUUCACUUUGAACACUGAAGCCUACCGGUACAGCUGUACUGCCGCCCUACGUACGAUACGGAGAAAAUUCGAAAGUGAAAGUAGAAAUUGUGUACAAGUUAACAAUAACCAUCUCGAAGUUGAAGUUAUACACGCAAUGUGAGCGAUGUUUUCCCUGAUUCUAACAGUUCAUCUUAAUUGGUUUCAUCAUUAUCGAGAAAAAAACCCGAUUUGAUAUUUAUUUUUAUUGUAUUUUAAACAGCUGGAACUCGGUAUCACAUCUGACUCGCACUUCUGAAAUGGAUCAAAUCGGACUUUGUCGUCGAGACUCGGAAGAAUCCAGCUGCCUAAAUUAUAAUGCCAGUGGAACUCAAAACAGAAAAGAUACUUGUAUGCAAGACAUGGAGAAAAGAGCAGACUACAGCCUCUAUAUACCAUUCCUUGGUGCCUCCUUGAAUUGAUGUUUUUCAGGAUAACCAUGGAGGAAUAAAGGUUAACUCAGUAUAAAGUCUUGCUGACAUGAACAUGCUAAUCACAAGAAAGUGAAUAUAUUUCAUCACCUUAAGCAAUCUUCAAAAUACCAGAUUGGAAAAAGAAAGAAGAUUUGUAGCAUUGUAUUGAAUAUGCCUGAUUAAAAGUAUUAAUGGAUGAA